AUGAUGGUCGAGACAGAAGUGCCCCAUCAUUCUGAGACGGAGGCUUUGACUAAUAUAAAGGUUAUUCUAUAUACAACUAUUAAGGUGCCUGUUGCGGGUAAUAUGGAGGUUACUCCACCUGUUAUGGAUGAUUUGGAGGUUACUCCUCCAGUUGAGGAAAAGGUUACUGCUUUGGCUUUGAUAGAUUUGUUUGUGCCCACAGACAAAGGGUUUUUCUUGAGGGCCCAAUGA